rnacentral:rRNA from 1 species
GAUGAACGCUGGCGGCGUGCCUAACACAUGCAAGUCGAACGGAGUCCAGCCUUUAAGACCUUCGGGUCAAAGAGGGGGAGACUGAGUGGCGGACGGGUGAGUAACACGUGGGCAACCUGGCUCAUAGAGGGGGAUAACAGAGAGAAAUUUCUGCUAAUACCGCAUAAGCACACACUGCCGCAUGGCAGAGGGUGAAAAGAGAAUCGCUAUGAGAUGGACCCGCGUCUGAUUAGCCAGUUGGCAGGGUAAGAGCCCACCAAAGCGACGAUCAGUAGCCGAUCUGAGAGGAUGAACGGCCACAUUGGGACUGAGACACGGCCCAAACUCCUACGGGAGGCAGCAGUGGGGGAUAUUGCACAAUGGGGGGAACCCUGAUGCAGCGACGCCGCGUGAGUGAAGAAGUAUUUCGGUAUGUAAAGCUCUAUCAGCAGGGAAGAUAAUGACAGUACCUGAAUAAGAAGCCCCGGCUAACUACGUG